ensembl:snoRNA
ACCCUCCAGUUCCCCUGGCGAUCGAUCGCAAAGGUGGAAAAGGAUGCUGAAGCUAUACUCAGCUCACAGCCUUAUAGUCUGGUAUAUAACAAGUGGGCUAGUUUCAAAUAACG